GGCGUCACUGGUGAAUAGUGAGACUCAUGAGAAUUAUUGAGAUGAUCGAUAAUUUUUAUUGGGCUGAGUUGGAAUUGUUCCGAUCCACUGAAAGGAGUUUCAGUGAUAUUGUUAAUAGCGAUCAGAAUAUAUCUCACUACCAGAUAGAAUAAAACCUUUGGGAUCACACACAUAAGAGGUUGUGACUUACUGGAUAGCUAGAUCACAAUUUUUGAAUCGCUGGAUGAUCGAAUUGUCAAUAUGUUGAUAAUUGGACUAAUUUGUAACUAUUACAAAUUAGUGGUAUUAAAGUGUAAAUAUUACAAGAGAGAACUUACUGACAAUUAGUAAUUAUGAGAGGACUUAUGUGCAAAUAUUGCAUUAUUAAUUUGAUAUGAUCAAAUUAGGAUAAAGUUCAAGUCGAGUCAAAUUAGGAUUUGAUUGCUCUAACCAAUUAAGGAAAUAGUAAAUUUAAAUCUAAAUUUAUACUUAUCCUUAA
rnacentral:lncRNA from 1 species